UGAGAAGGAAUUAUUGGCUAUUACUUUUACUGUUGGAAAAUGGAGACAUUAUCUUGAGGAAUGUCCCUUUUUCAUUAAAACAAAUCGUGAAAGUAUUAAAUUCUUAUUGGAGCAGAGGCUUCAUACUAAUCUUCAGCAGAAAGGGAUUUCUCAGUUGUUAGGGCUGGAUUACAAGAUUUUAUACAGGAAAGGGGUUGAAAACAAAGUGGCUGAUGCAUUGUCAAGGAGACCAAUACGGUUGCACCAUCUGAAUGCGCUUCAGUAUCAGUUUGGCAACCUACUUGGGUGCCUUCUGUAAUGAGUAGUUAUGAUGGUGAUUCAGUGAUAGAGGGAUUAAUUCAGAUGUUGUCCCUGGAUCCUACAGCUCAGCGGGGUUAUGAAUUGAAGAAUGGGAUUGUUUAUCAUAAAGGUAGGAUGUAUGUGGGACUAGGAAGCCAAUUGAGAGACCAAUUACUGCAAUUGUAUCACACAUCAGCUUUAGGAGGGCAUGCAGGUGUGCAAGCCACUUAUUGGAGGUUAAAAGACACUUCUAUUGGCCUGGAAUGUUAAAUUCAGUCAUGACUUGGGUUCAAAAGUGUGAAGUGUGUGCUAGGUGCAAGGGGGAAUAUUGUGCUUAUCCUGGAUUAUUGCAGCCCUUGGCUAUACCUACCUAAGCUUGGCAGCAUAUAUCUAUGGAUUUCAUUGAGCAAUUGCCCAAAUCUAAUGGAAAGGAUAUCAUUUUGGUAGUGGUCUGCAGGCUAAGUACAGCCAUUUCUUGGCUCUUGCUCAUCCAUUUUCAGCUUCCACAGUAGCAAGGCUAUUUCUAGAUUCUAUUUUUAAACUUCAUGGGUCUCUUCAAUCUAUUGUGACUGACAGGGACAAGGUGUUUACCAAGAUAAUUCUUUAAGUUUUGGGGACAACAAUUCAUUAUAGUACUGCCUACCAUCCUCAGACAGAUGUUCAGACAGAAAGGCUUAAUCAAUGGUUAGAAAAUUACUUGAGAAGUAUGACACAUCAUCAACCAAAUAAGUGGCAGCAAUGGCUUCUUUUGGCAGAAUAUUACUCAACUCCUUAGAGAUAAUCUGCUAGUUGCUCAAAAUAUGAUGAAACAGCAAGCAGAUAAAAGGAAUGAGAGGGUGUGUUGGAAGUGGAAGUUUGGGUUUACUUAAAGUUACAACCUCACAGGCAGACUUCAGGGGCCCUAAGGAAGUCCUUAAAACUAUCACCUAAGUUUUGUGGACCUUUUCAAAUUACUGCUAAGGUAGGGUCUGUGGCCUAUAAACUUCAAUUGCCUCCUACUUCAAGCGUGCAUCUCGUUUUCCAUGUCUCUUAUUGAAAAAAAAACUUGGAGACAAUAUUACUUCUAUUGUGGCAUUGCCUGAGAUGUUGGAUGGUCACAUGGUAGCAGCCCCUAAAUCAUUGUUGAAUACAAGAACUAUUUUCAGAAAUAAGGAGCCUGUGUUGCAGGGAUUGAUUAAGUGGAAGAAUAUGCCUGUUGAGGAUGCUACUUGGGAGGACUAUUCCUUCAUUACAGGCCAAUUUCCUAAGUUUCAACCUUCUUGGGGACAAGAA
rnacentral:misc_RNA from 1 species